CCGAGUUUACAACUCCCAAACCCCUGUGAACAUACACUUGUUGCCUCGGCGGAUCAGCCCGCUCCCGGUAAAACGGGACGGCCUGCCAGAGGACCCCUAAACUCUGUUUCUAUAUGUAACUUCUGAGUAAAACCAUAAAUAAAUCA
rnacentral:misc_RNA from 1 species